rnacentral:rRNA from 1 species
UACGGAGGGGGCUAGCGUUGCUCGGAAUUACUGGGCGUAAAGCGCACGUAGGCGGCGCGACAAGUCAGGGGUGAAAGGCCUGGGCUCAACCUGGGAACUGCCUUUGAUACUGGCGUGCUUGAGUUCGGGAGAGGGAUGCGGAAUUCCAGGUGUAGCGGUGAAAUGCGUAGAUAUCUGGAGGAACACCGGUGGCGAAGGCGGCAUCCUGGACCGACACUGACACUGAGGAGCGAAAGCCAGGGGAGCAAACGGGA